CGGCGUUCGACCGGACCGCGGUACCGAGUGCCACGUCCGGUCUGUCCUUCAGCACCUCCAGGGACAGUGACCUCCCCGGGCAGCCCGUUCCAAUGCCCAGUCACUCCUUCUGCGAAUAAAUUCUUCCUAAUGUCCAACCUAAACUUCCCCGGCGCACCCUGACGCUGUGUGCUCUCGUCCUGUCACUGGUCGCCUGGGAGAAGAGCCCGACCCCCCCACCUGGCUACAACCUCCUUCCAGGAGAGAAACUUCCCCCGGCCGCUGUCCCCGGCCAUCCCCAGGCGGAGGGACAGGUGGGCAGCCACGGGCCGGCCCGUGAGGGCGGUGCCGCCGUCGCCCACAGCAGCACCCCGGUCCCGGCUGGCCCCGGGCGCCUGCGACGGAAAGUCCUGGGCUUGGCUCUGGAAUUGCGCGGGGCUGAGAGGAAAAACGCGUUAACUGCCUUGUUUAAGCAGAGGAAACUGAUAGUGCAUUCCAGUGAUGGUUACUUAGGAGGAACUAAUCAAUAGGAAUACAAUCACUUCUGAAAGAAUUACUACAAGUAAGUUUCACAACCUUUUUUAUGCCUUGCAAAUAAUCAAGCAAAUAUUUCAUGUAUUGGCCAACGAUUUCUUUGCAUUUUGAAUUCACUGUGUGACUGUGUAAAUAAUUCUAGGUAAACUAGGUGGAGAAAAUGCAGUUGUAGUUCUGCAACAUUUAAUAUUGUAGAUUAAAAUAUAAUUACUUUUGAAUAUCUUAUCAGUUUAGAAGGAAAUCCUUCCAGGGAAAGAGGCAAGUUCUUUCUUAACAAGUGUUUCUAAACAAAGGUUACUAGAGAGGUUUAUGUACUGUUUAGCCUGUUAAUUUUUUAAGCUGUUCAGACAUUUGUGAAAUUCCAUGUAAAUCACUCAGUGUAAGAGUGGUCAAGAGAAAAAUACACAGUGCUGACUUCAAGGGAGCAGAAUGACAGUCCCUGAGGCAGGGUGUGAUACACUGCUGUACCACUGCAAUUCAUAAAGUCAGUAGCACAGUAUAGGACAAAUAUCUGAUUUGAAAUGCUAAUUACAUUUUACAUUUGGCUUUGUUUGCAGCUGAUUUCUUACUUCCUUGUACCUUAUUUGUUGUCAACCUUGUUCCUUAAUAGAAUAUCCAGCACUAGAGGAUGCUGGAGGAAUGACUGCAACAUUAACAACUCUGUGUUGGAAAUCCAGAAUCCCAGGAAAGUCGAGUUGUGGUGCCCCUUAGAGGUCUCAGCUCCAACCCAGCCUUGCCAUAAACAGCACACUCGUGUUCUCCUGCCGGAUCCACUGCAGCCAAAGGGAAGGCAGUCACCUGGAAGGGACUCCAUUGUGUGACACACUCUGUUUCCUUAGGACUGGGCAACAGGUGAUGGCAUCUUGUGAAAACAUCAAUGGGUCACCAAAAGGAAAAAAUACAACGAGAAUGAAACUGUAAAUGCUCAUCUCAGUUACAAGAAUAUUUAAUAUUACAGAGUUCUUGGUUUUUAAAGAGUGGCUGUUAGCAAGCAAGGAUACAGUCUGAGAGGAGUGGGAAUAAAAUGAGCCUCGAUCUUAUUUACCUCAAGCAGCUGCUGAAUCUCCAGUGUGUCCUGUUCCAUAAGCAGCUGCAGAGUGGAAUUUUUUGAACAGUUGUGUUGAGUUUCAUAGCAAGGAAAACUGUUUUGUUGACAAGUGGUUGUUACCAUGAUCUCUACUGAAAGUAAGAUGUCGGAAGGAAGAGUGAGUCCAAAUGUACUGUUUAUUUCAGAGUUGUGGGGUAUCUUUUUAGGCACAAUGUUUUUAGCAUUCUGAGUAAAUGCUGCUGCUUUAAACAGGCUAAAACUAAUAUAAACAAACUGAACUGAAGGCUUGUAGCUGUUAGAAAUAAGUCAGUCAUGAUGAAAUAUCUUUGUAUUUUAAAGCCUAACAAACUGACAAGUGUAAAUUAACAGGAGAAUAUCUCCUAGCUUACAUGCAAGUAAAAGGUUGUGUGGAGUGUUGUUUAGUCAUGACACCCUCCAAAUUCUCUCCUGCCUAACCCAGACAUGGCUGUUCAGUUGUAGGGCUGCCCGUUUCACAUUCUUAAUCCAUAGGCACUAAUUCUAACUGAAGGAUCUUACAAGGAGUGGUAUGUACAUCCAGUAUAUCUUUUACAUACCCUUUCCCCAAAGUUUACUAGAACUUGGUAGCUGAUGGAGCAAAGAUUGUCUUUGGGUUUAGGUUUGUGUUGCCUUUAGCAGUUGUUGCUAUCGUUCAUGUUGCUAAUGUUUUGUAGCUUUUAUUAGGACAUUUUUUCUGGAGGCUGCAUGUUCCAUUGGCACAGUGUAUUCCUGAUCCACACAGUGGACUUGGAGGGCACUGACAGAGUAAGAGUUCAUAGGGAUAAACAGCUGAUUGCAUGGCUUAGAAGGAAGGUGGUGUUCCAAUGGACUAAUAAGGGUAGCACCAUUGCAAGCAAGUUGCAAUGUCUUUGCUGUCUUAAAAUAAUGCCAGAUCUCAGUGAAAGAUCCCAGCACGAGUAGCUGCAUGAACUUCUGGGCUUAAUUCAUGAUAUCCUUAAAAUGUAUUCUUGCAGAAAGCACCUGAUGUUGCUACAAACCAUGCAUGAGGUCCGCCUAGACCAGAACACUGUAAUACACCCCUACUUUUAGAAGUCACUAAAGUGGUGGAGUUUACCAGGUGUUUGAUACAGUUUAUUAGUUAAAUGGAGGUGAGGGAAAACAUGGUGUGGGAUGGAAGCAUUAAUUUGAGUUACCUUGGUGUUCAUGAACACUAAGUCGGUCUCCUGUUCCAAAUUAGACUUAAAUCUAGUUUUUCUCUCUGUUGGACUAAAAUGUCUUGUUUUUAUGAGUAAACACCUUGGGUUGUACUAUUUUAGAACAUCUGGGUAAGUUUAUGCCAACUGAAAUUCUUUGGACGUUGUGGUGAAAGUAAUCUUAAUCUGAUUUACCUGGUUUUCCAUACUUGUUAUUCCUGUGAGAGAGGAUCUUCCUGAGAUAUCUGUUCCUCUAAAUUCUUUCCCCAGAAAAAAUAUUUAGUUGGAAUUAUUUGCUUAUUGUUCUUGGUUCCAUUUCAUUUUCAUUUCA